GGGGAAUCUUGCGCAAUGGUCUAACGACUGACGCAGCGACGCCGCGUGUGGGAGGACGCCUUUCGGGGUGUAAACCACUGUUGCCCGGGACGAACAGCCCUUUUCGAGGGGUCUGACGGUACCGGGUGAGGAAGCACCGGCUAACUCCGUGCCAGCAGCCGCGGUAAUACGUAGGAGACGAGCGUUGUCCGGAGUUCCUGGGCGUAAAGGGUGCGCAGGUGGCCUGGCGCGUGGGGGGUGAAAUCGCCCGGCUUAACUGGGCGGGGGCCUUCCAGACGGCGAGGCUUGAGCAACGGAGGGGGGCGUGGAAUUCCGGGUGGAGCGGUGAAAUGCGUAGAGAUCCGGAGGAACACCGACGGCGCAGGCAGCGCCCUGGCCGUUUGCUGACACUGAGGCACGAAAGCUGGGGGAGCAAAC
rnacentral:rRNA from 1 species